GUGGCAUCUGAGGUAGUAUGUAAUAUUGUAGACUGUCUAUAAUGUCCACAAUGUUUCAACUAACUCGGCUGUUCU
ensembl:miRNA mir-84 ncRNA